CCUACGGGGUGCAGCAGUGAGGAAUAUUGGUCAAUGGACGAGAGUCUGAACCAGCCAAGUAGCGUGAAGGAUGACUGCUCUAUGGGUUGUAAACUUCUUUUAUAUGGGAAUAAAAUGUUCCACGUGUGGGAUUUUGUAUGUACCAUAUGAAUAAGGAUCGGCUAACUCCGUGCCAGCAGCCGCGGUAAUACGGAGGAUCCGAGCGUUAUCCGGAUUUAUUGGGUUUAAAGUGAGCGUAGGUGGAUUGUUAAGUCAGUUGUGAAAGUUUGCGGCUCAACCGUAAAAUUGCAGUUGAAACUGGCAGUCUUGAGUACAGUAGAGGUGGGCGGAAUUCGUGGUGUAGCGGUGAAAUGCUUAGAUAUCACGAAGAACUCCGAUUGCGAAGGCAGUUCACUGGACUGCAACUGACACUGAGGCUCGAAAGUGUGGGUAUCAAACAGGAUUAGAUACCCGUGUAGUC
rnacentral:rRNA from 1 species